UGUGUUUGGGUUUGCUGUAAACUACACGUUUCCAGAUGAACUGCAAGAAGCUCGACUGCCGAUUAGAGGUCACAAAGAGUGCUUCUUUUCAGAUAAGAGGAUUUUUGGGAAAUAUUUGCGGCCGGGGGACAACUUUUGCGCCGGAUACACAAACGGAAUAACCGUCUGCAACGGGGACAGCGGAGGCAGCCUUUCCGUGGAAAAAACGGCCGUUGGUUCAUCAGGGGCAUAUUGUCAGCUUUGGAAAAUCGAAAAAAGUGGUGUUUGAAGGAGAAAAAAGAUGGUUGUGUCACCCAAAUCACUAUACAUUGUUCACUGACGUCGCAAAUUACAUGGACUGGAUCGUGGAAAACACGCCGUAAAUUUCUUUCCGAAAUUAAAUGUUAAUUUGUUUGAAAAGUGGGAAGAACGAUCGAUAGUUUUUUAAGAUAAAAAUAUAGCCAGACAACAUAAUAAUCUAUUAACAAAAUAUUUUCUAUGGUUUUAAGAAUAAAAUGUUUUAAAUUUUUGAA